AUUGAACGCUGGCGGCAGGCCUAACACAUGCAAGUCGAGCGGAGCGGCGGCCGGGUGAGUAAUGCCUAGGAAUCUGCCUGGUAGUGGGGGAUAACGUCCGGAAACGGGCGCUAAUACCGCAUACUAUCAGAUGAGCCUAGGUCGGAUUAGCUAGUUGGUGGGGUAAAGGCCUACCAAGGCGACGAUCCGUAACUGGUCUGAGAGGAUGAUCAGUCACACGGGAACUGAGACACGGUCCAGACGCCUACGCGCGGCAGCAGUGGGGCAUAUUCGAAAAUGGGCGAAAGCCAGAUCCAGCCGUUCUGGGUGUAUGAAGAAGGUCUGCGGAUUGUAAAGCACUGUAAAUUGGGAAGCGUUACUAAAAGAAUAAGCACCGGCUAACUGCGUGCCAGCAGCCGCGGUAAUUC
rnacentral:rRNA from 1 species